GCAAGUCGUACGAGAAAUCUUUUGUUCGCAGAAGAGAGUAAAGUGGCGCACGGGUGAGUAACGCGUGGAUAAUCUGCCUCUGAAUCGGGGAUAACGUUACGAAAGUGACGCUAAUACCGGAUAAUAUCUAGAAUGCUUCGGUUUUUUAGAUCAAAGGGGGCCACUACAUGUAAGCUUCUGUUUAGAGAUGAGUCCGCGUGCCAUUAGCUUGUUGGUAGGGUAAUGGCCUACCAAGGCGACGAUCAGUAGCUGGUCUGAGAGGAUGAUC
rnacentral:rRNA from 1 species